rnacentral:rRNA from 1 species
GACGAACGCUGGCGGCGUGCUUAACACAUGCAAGUCGAACGGAAAGGCCCUGCUUUUGUGGGGUGCUCGAGUGGCGAACGGGUGAGUAACACGCGAGUAACCUGCCCUUGACUUUGGGAUAACUUCAGGAAACUGGGGCUAAUACCGGAUAGGAGCUCCUGCUGCAUGGUGGGGGUUGGAAAGUUUCGGCGGUUGGGGAUGGACUCGCGGCUUAUCAGCUUGUUGGUGGGGUAGUGGCUUACCAAGGCUUUGACGGGUAGCCGGCCUGAGAGGGUGACCGGCACAGCUGGGACGGAGACACGGCCCAGACUCGUAGGGGAGGCAGCAGGGGGGAAUUUUGGACAAUGGGGGCAACCCUGAUCCAGCCAUGCCGCGUGCGGGAAGAAGGCCUUGGGGUUGUAAACCGCUUUUGUUCGGGAAGAAAUCCUCUGGGCUAAUACCCCGGGGGGAUGACGGUACCGGAAGAAUAAGCACCGGCUAACUACGU